rnacentral:rRNA from 1 species
AUGAACGCUGGCGGCGUGCCUAAUACAUGCAAGUCGAGCGAACAGACGAGGAGCUUGCUCCUCUGAAGUUAGCGGCGGACGGGUGAGUAACACGUGGAUAACCUACCUAUAAGACUGGGAUAACUUCGGGAAACCGGAGCUAAUACCGGAUAAUAUAUUGAACCGCAUGGUUCAAUAGUGAAAGACGGUUUUGCUGUCACUUAUAGAUGGAUCCGCGCCGCAUUAGCUAGUUGGUAAGGUAACGGCUUACCAAGGCAACGAUGCGUAGCCGACCUGAGAGGGUGAUCGGCCACACUGGAACUGAGACACGGUCCAGACUCCUACGGGAGGCAGCAGUAGGGAAUCUUCCGCAAUGGGCGAAAGCUUGACGGAGCAACGCCGCGUGAGUGAUGAAGGUCUUCGGAUCGUAAAACUCUGUUAUUAGGGAAGAACAAAUGUGUAAGUAACUAUGCACGUCUUGACGGUACCUAAUCAGAAAGCCACGGCUAACUACGUG